rnacentral:rRNA from 1 species
CUAGCAUAUCAAUAAGCGGAGGAAAAGAAACCAACAGGGAUUGCCUCAGUAACGGCGAGUGAAGCGGCAACAGCUCAAAUUUGAAAUCUGGCUCUUUCAGGGUCCGAGUUGUAAUUUGUAGAAGAUGCUUCGGGUGUGGCUCCGGUCUAAGUUCCUUGGAACAGGACGUCAUAGAGGGUGAGAAUCCCGUAUGUGACUGGGUGCCUUCGCUCAUGUGAAGCUCUUUCGACGAGUCGAGUUGUUUGGGAAUGCAGCUCAAAAUGGGUGGUAAAUUUCAUCUAAAGCUAAAUAUUGGCCAGAGACCGAUAGCGCACAAGUAGAGUGAUCGAAAGAUGAAAAGCACUUUGGAAAGAGAGUUAAACAGUACGUGAAAUUGUUGAAAGGGAAGCGCUUGCAACCAGACUUGCACGCGGUUGAUCAUCCGGUGUUCUCACCGGUGCGCUCUGCCGCGUUCAGGCCAGCAUCGGUUUUGGUGGUUGGAUAAAGGCCUAGGGAAUGUAGCUUCUUUCGGGGAGUGUUAUAGCCCUAGGUGCAAUGCAGCCUACUGGGACCGAGGACCGCGCUUCGGCUAGGAUGCUGGCGUAAUGGUUGUAAGCGACCCGUCUUGAAACACGGACCAAGGAGUCUAACAUCUAUGCGAGUGUUUGGGUGUCAAACCCAUACGCGUAAUGAAAGUGAACGGAGGUGAGAACCCUUAAGGGUGCAUCAUCGACCGAUCCUGAUGUCUUCGGAUGGAUUUGAGUAAGAGCAUAGCUGUUGGGACCCGAAAGAUGGUGAACUAUGCGUGAAUAGGGUGAAGCCAGAGGAAACUCUGGUGGAGGCUCGCAGCGGUUCUGACGUGCAAAUCGAUCGUCAAAUUUGCGCAUAGGGGCGAAAGACUAAUCGAACCAUCUAGUAGCUGGUUCCUGCCGA